rnacentral:rRNA from 1 species
CGGGUGAGUAACGCGUGAGGAACCUGCCUCAAAGAGGGGGACAACAGUUGGAAACGACUGCUAAUACCGCAUAAGCCCACGGCUCGGCAUCGAGCAGAGGGAAAAGGAGCAAUCCGCCUUGAGAUGGCCUCGCGUCCGAUUAGCUAGUUGGUGAGGUAACGGCCCACCAAGGCGACGAUCGGUAGCCGGACUGAGAGGUUGAACGGCCACAUUGGGACUGAGACACGGCCCAG